AUUGAACGCUGGCGGCAGGCCUAACACAUGCAAGUCGAGCGGAUGACGGGAGCUUGCUCCUUGAUUCAGCGGCGGACGGGUGAGUAAUACCUAGGAAUCUGCCUGAUAGUGGGGGACAACGUUUCGAAAGGAACGCUAAUACCGCAUACGUCCUACGGGAGAAAGCAGGGGACCUUCGGGCCUUGCGCUAUCAGAUGAGCCUAGGUCGGAUUAGCUAGUUGGUGAGGUAAUGGCUCACCAAGGCGACGAUCCGUAACAGGUCUGAGAGGAUGAUCAGUAACACUGGAACUGAGACACGGUACAGACUCCUAAGGGAGGCAGCAGUGGGGAAUAUUGGACAAUGGGCGAAAGCCUGAUCCAGCCAUGCCGCGUGUGUGAAGAAGGUCUUCGGAUUGUAAAGCACUUUAAGUUGGGAGGAAGGGCAGUAAGCUAAUACCUUGCUGUUUUGACGUUACCGACAGAAUAAGCACCGGCUAACUCUGUGCCAGCCGCCGCCGUAAAAC
rnacentral:rRNA from 1 species